UUAUUUAAACAACACUUGUAUAACAAUAAACUUAAUGUUACAUUUAAUAAAAAAAAAAUUGGAAUACUGAUCAGAUUUGAACCGAAAGAAUACUACUAAUGUAUCGCUAAAUAAAUAACCAAAGAUUGCAGUUGGAGGAUGCUUGCAGGUAGGCAAAAACCCUCACCUAGUUUUAUGGUUUCGUCAAAGAUCCUAUCAUGGAUUCUUAUUAGGCUAUGUAGCUUAACUAAUUACAUAAUCAGGCCGUAUAGAAUGCAACAUGUUUAAUAGCCUAACUUUCAAAUAGAUGGGGAAAAAACAUGAACGUCUGAUUCGCAAUAACGAGGCGUGUGUGUGUGUGUGUGUGUGUGUGUGUGUCUGCGUGAAUGGCAGUCUGCGUAUGUGUGUGUGAGUGACGUCGGGCUACUUCUAGCCUUUUAAGUUGUUUAAAAUAACGAUUUCGUUUUUUACCAUGACAAGAUGCCCUCAUGGUUCCCAGUUUAUAGCGUUUUGGUAGAAUCGGCUAAAAACAGCCUAUUUAAGAAUGCGUUUACAUGCGCUUUUGUGCUCCCAAACGAACAUCCCAUCUCGUUAUCAUCUUAAACAUAUCCAAGAUCCAUUUUAAACCGGAUUUCUCCUUUAAAUGGUUCCACGACACACUCUUUAGAUUAAAUUAGUCAAACCAGGUUUUCCGCUUUAGGUUCAAUGCGCGUUCACAUAAAAGGUGUGUUUAUCACGUCAAUUGACUCCCCCUUAUGCAAAGUGAAUCGAGCGUGCGUGGUGUAUUAUUAUGAAUUCCUACAAGGAAUUCAAAGUCCAAAUCACAGUCAAGGGGAACACGGUUGCCCAUAAUAUGGCUAGGGUAGAGGGCUGGCAAAAAAUAGCCGUCCGUGUUAAUUCGGAAGUGAAAAGAUUCUGCAUAUUGUCUAAAAAAUAUCAUGCAUCAUCAUGCCUUUUACUCCCAUAGAUGUGGUGCCAGCACGCUCCUACGAACAUGGGGCCAAGUCAAAAAUAAAUAUUAAAAUAAUAUUCAACGUGCAAAUAAAAAAAAAAAGUUAAUACGACUGGGAGGAGGACCGCUCCCCCGCCCUUCACCACUUCGGAGGAGCUGGCUCUCGCCAAUAACGAAGGUCGGCCGAUGAUGGUAGGAGUGGAAGAGGGGGUGUCCUCUGACCCCACUGCCGUGACUUCCAAGGCGUUUGUAAUGAGUAUGUAUUCAUUUAUUGGCAAUGGACAUCAAUAAUGGUCUUGCUAAUCAAAUGUGAAAUGAUUAAGUGUAAAUUAAUUGUUAUUUUUAGUUAAAGGUACAGACAUUAGUUUGGAGGGGCCGCCGACAAUCAAUCUCCAAUCCGAGGAGACUGUCGGCCUGUGACUCCAGGGCGACUAUGGAGGGGAUUUUUCUGAACAAUUCUCACAGCUAUAAUAUGAAUUUGUAGAAUAAAAAAUGCCUAUGCCUAAUUGUGUCACUGACAUAGCGGUUAUG